CCCCCAAGCCUGUGUCUGUGGCCUGCACCCAGCUGGCAUUUUCUGGCCCUAAGCUGGCUCCCCGGCUUGGCCCCCGCCCGGUGCCCCCUCCAAGGCCAGAGAGCACUGGGGCCUCGGGCCCAGGCCAGGCCCAGCAGAGACUGGAACAGACCAGCUCAUCCUUGGCAGCGGCACUGCGGGCGGCGGAGAAAAGCAUUGGUGCUGAGGAGCGAGAGGGGCCCCCUGGCACCUCCACCAAGCACAUUCUGGAUGACAUCAGCACCAUGUUCGAUGCCCUGGCUAACCAGCUGGAUGCCAUGCUGGACUGAGUGGACCUGCCAGGAGCCUUCGACAGUGCCCUCCGUGCCCUGCAGCGGCCCCUGCCUGUCCCCCGGCACAGAAGCAGCUCCUGCCGCCCUAGCAGGGUCCCUCCUGCUGCUCCGAGCCAGCAGCUGUCAGCACUGCAGCUCCAGGAGGCAGCCCCAUGGGAGCCGAAGGGACUUGUCAGAACCUGACCUCUCAGCAAAGCCCCCCCCAGAGUGUAAUCCGACGGGACGGCCCUGCCCCUUGGACAGGGACCCUGGUAAGAGCUUCCUCCCCAGGAAGAAAGCAGUGGUGGCAGGGCUCCUGGGGUGUUUUCUCUGUCCCUGCAUCAAGGCCCUCUGGCCACCCGCUGUGCUGUCCCGGCUCCCUGAGGAGGCGGUGUGUCUAGCCUGGUUCCCUGCACGUGUACAUGGGACGUGUAAAUAAGCAGCCAGGGACCUGCUCCCAGCGGUGGCCGUGGCAGCGCCCUCUGCCCCCGCCCCUGCCUGCCCUCAGUGAGGCAGGCAAAGCUGGCAGGGGUGGGGGCACUGGAUUAACAGAUCCCUUAAACAGAUCCGCAAAGUCCAAAUCUUUUCAACUGUAAAUGUUAUUUUUUAAGCAGAGAGAAAUGCAUAUAUUUUAAAAGGAAUUUAUUCUAUCUAUAACCGCCUGAGAGGACGCAGUGGGGGAGGGGCUUGGGACCACAGCAAGAGCACCCACUGGCCACCUCAGGGCUGGGAGCCUGACCUGGUGGGCCCAAGCCCCAGCUCUGUAACCAUUAACCUCUUCCCCCAACUAACACCAAUGAAAAGUGUCAUUCCAC
rnacentral:lncRNA from 1 species